rnacentral:lncRNA from 1 species
GGACCAUUCACAGGGGAGAGAAAAUAUGCACAAGCUAAAUAGUGGAUUCUCAUUGAAGGCCUAUUUACUGCAUGCCAGGUUAAAGAAAGAAGUCAAACAAUAAUGAGGUGAAGCAGAGAAUCUUUAAGUUGACAUCUGCAUUUGGUUUGAUAAGAUAAAGAUAUGAUAAAGAAGAGUAAGUAUUAAUACAUGUCAUAAUUGCAUGUUCAUUAAUUAGGCUUCUAAUGAUAUUGACCUGACAUGAAAAUGCUUUCUUCUCAAUUCAGGAAUAUAUUUUGAAUGACAGAUAAUAAUUCUGUGUUUUGUACCAAAGCCAUACAAUUCUGAAAGCUUUGCAUUAGAGCUCUGCCC